rnacentral:lncRNA from 1 species
GGAUGACUCCUAAAAUAUUCCACCGCUUUCCAAUAUAUAGGACCCUGCCCUCUUGUUCAUCAUCUUCUUCAAGCAGCCAUCCAUGGCUUUUUCUGAACGAAAAAUAGGACCGCCCUGACAUCGUCUUCAAUACCACCCAAAAAUGACCCCUUCGUUGGAGCUCCUUCUUCAUUACAAUAACAACAGACCAGAGCUUACACCUUCAGGACCCCUCUCUUCAGCUAGACACAGCGGCUUCUCCACCAGAAAUUGUUGUUCUAUCUUUUUCUACACCCACCAGGCGAACCAGACCCCUGAACUGCCUCCUGAAAUCAAAUGACCUCGUCACUAGCUCCCUGCUGCUAGGGUGACCCCUAUGUGUCUUUUCACAUCUCUUUACUACUCAUAAAUGCACACACAUACAUGGGAGAAGAUCUGGUAAAAACAAAGAGAGAGUAGAAAAUCGUGAAAGCAAAAACAAAGAAUCAUCUUCGUCUAAUGUUUCGAGUUUUCAAACAUGGAGUUCAAUCGAGUUCGAGGUGUCGUCUGCAGUGCUGUUCGUGAUCCUGUUUGAGUUUGAUUGUUGUUUCGAGUUUUGGUUGUAGCGUUUGCUCGAUUCCUGUCCGUGUACUAUUGAAAAUUUCAUCAAAUGAAAGGUUCGAUUUUCAGUUUGUCAUAGUUGUUGAAAUUCUAUUAAUUGGAAAAUAAUUUCAGUUCUUAAGCCUCAUUUUUUCUGCUAGAGUUUUGUUAAUUUGAGUCCAUUUCAAAGCUCGUGUGCGAGAUUCAUUUGGAGCUGACACGCGCGAGAUGCUGGUCAUGUUUUAAGUUUGUGAUUCUUGUUCGGAUUUGCUGUUGUUUCUCGGACAGAUUUUGCGGAUUGGAAAUUCUGCAGUCGGACAUCUUGCCACUGAUUGUAGAGCAGUUGACGAGCUAAAUUCUGUCGCAAUGCAUUCAGCAAUGAAGCUGUUGCUGCUUAGUCGUAAUCAAUAGGGAGUCUUUGAAGGAAUUGCCCUUCAAUCUUGCCAGUAAGCUUAUCUGGAGAGCAUCCACUUGUUUUGUUGAAAUUUUGGAUCACUUAUUCAGCAACAUCUGUGAACUGGAUUUGGUUUUUAACUUCCACAAGGUUAGGUAUUUCUUAUCACGCAUUUGUCGCUACUUAGAGAAGGACUGAUUCUUUCUUAUCAGCAACGUCUGUGAACUGGAUUUGGUACUUUAUUUUGCAUUAUCCCUUAUGUCAUAAUGGUAGUUUUCCAACAAUCUCCUUGUUAAGUGCUACUGAACUUUUGUUAUCAUGUUGGUUCUCCUAUUGAAUUGCAAAUGUGUUGGUCAAUUGCUAGUUGGGUCGUGGGAAUCGGGUUUUUUUAAUAAAGUAUGUAAUAUUAAAAAUGGCUAAUGGAGCGUGAAAUCAUCGUGUUAUGGGUACGGUUCCCGUAACGUAGUUGUGAUACCUAAUUAGUUUUAAAUAUGAAUAUCCGUAGUUCUUUUAAUUGAAUGCAUUUCCUUUGAAAUAAAUUGAGGCAUGCCAUUUAGUUGAAUUUUCAUGGACCUCGCAAAGUUGAAAGUGUGUAAUUGCUUUAGGCACGCUAUUCUAAAAACUACUUUCCUAAACUCGGGUACGCAUUUAUGUGACCCAAAUCCAAAUCUCAACAAUGUUAGAUAAAAUGUGUUGCGGACUGCGGGUGCAUUUAGGUGACGUGGUUCAAGACGCGUUUUGCAUGACGUUGAAAUCUUCCUAAAAAAUAUUAUUAAAUGAAAGCGGUUAUAAAGUUAAAAUUGAACCAUAGGUUAAAACAUAUAUUAAAAUUAGAUAAUAGGCCAAUAAUAACAGUUGAGCGACCGUGCUAGAACCACGGAACCUGGGAAUACCUAACACCUUCUCCCGGGUUAACAGAAUUCCUUACCCGGAUUUCUGUGUUCGCAGACUGUAAAAGAGAGUCAAUCUUUUCCUCGAUUCGGGAUUUGAACCGGUGACUUGGGACACCAUAAAUUAUCCCAAGUGGCGACUUUAAAUUUUAAAUAAAAUAAUUCCGUUUUGAUUGUCACUUUAAGUUGGAAAAAACUCUCUUAAUACCCUUCCAAAGGUAUUAAAUUUCGAGGCGUGAUACGUAGGCAACCCACAUAGGGUCCGGUUUUCCUAGUAAAUCUUAGGUUCAUGGCUUUGCGGGGUCUUAGCCAAAUUUUGUACUUCUAGCCAUCUUUUGGCCAAAUAAGUCAUUUUGCAAAAAUAGCCUAAAUCAUGUCUCGCAUGUUUCCAACAGGAAGGGUUAUUGUCUCACAUAGCGCUCUAGGUCUUUAACCUAUUUGGUUUUAAUUUUCUCAUACAGGCAUGGAUUUACUUAUCGGAGUUUGAGCAUGACAGAGCCCCAGGAUAUCUAGUCAGG